UUAUUGGAAUCAUUUGGGAUAACCUGAAAAAGGAGUUGAACACUUUCCUUACUCUCUGCAUCCAGGCACCAAAAACAUUUAAGGGGAAUGCGCUAAUAUCUAUAACCACUGCUAAAUACUGGCAAGAGAUUAUUGAAGGCCUAGAUGCUCUGCUAAGCACACUAAAAGAGAGCUUUGUUCCUGCGGUUCUUAUUCAAAAGAUAUUCUCUCAGGCUUU